AAAGGGUGGAAGGCCUGAGUCCUGCGUUAGGUGUGCGUAAGGCUCUGCGUGGGUCCUGGAGGCGGUACUAUGUCGGUGUGUGGACCUUGUCUUCUCACUCGCGCAGAGGACUCCGUGGUUUCGUCGCCUCUCUCAGUUCCCCUAUGUUGUUGGUUGGGAGCGUCACCUUGGAGAAGGGGCGCCCGCACAUCUCGGCGGAACAGGUUAAAGGUUAGAUUGGAAGAAAAGGAAAUAGAAGCCAUGUUUCGAAGACCUGUAGUGCAGGUCCUUCAUCAGUUUGUAAGACAUGAGUCUGAAAUAGCUGGCGGUUUGGUUCUCGAAAGAUCUCUGAAUCGUGUGCAGUUACUUGGUCGAGUAGGUCAGGACCCUGUCAUGAGACAGGUAGAAGGAAAAAACCCAGUCACAAUAUUUUCUCUAGCAACAAAUGAGAUGUGGCGAUCAGGGGAAAAUGAAACACACCAAGUGGGUGAUGUCAGUCAAAAGACAACGUGGCACAGAAUUUCAGUAUUCCGACCAGGCCUGAGAGAUGUGGCAUAUCAGUAUGUGAAAAAGGGGUCUCGAAUUUAUGUGGAAGGGAAAGUAGACUAUGGUGAAUAUAUGGAUAAAAAUAAUGUGAGACGACAAGCAACAACAAUUAUAGCUGAUAACAUUAUAUUUCUGAGUGACCAGACGAAAGAGAAGGCAUAGAAUGGACGAUUCUUCUUUGGCCAUUGUUUGAGGCCAUGUGGGCACCUGCUCUAUGCCAUGCAGCCGUACAGCAUGGAUGUAGGGACACACUGUAAGCAGAUAUUUGUGAGAUAACUUUCAGAUGAUGCCAGGAUUCCAGCUUCCUGUUGUGGAAAACCAUAUUGUGGGAAGGAUUUCCAGUUGCCUACCUGUUUUACGAUGUACAUGGGAUUUGUUCUAAUCAGGAAUGGUAUGAUGACAGACACAGAGACAACUGCCUUUGAACGAAGAGUUUAUUACUUACAAUUCUCAAGAGGAGGGCGUGCAACACACCAUGCCAGGACCACACGGAGAGGUACCAGGUUAAGGAUUGCUAAGGGGCUAUAAGCAGAAGUUAUUUGAUGGUGUUUCCAGGGAAGUUCCUUCAGUGAACUAACUCUGUUGGGAGGCUCAUCCUGUGUGCUUCUCUAAACCCUCAUUUGGCUUUUUCUUGUCUGAAAUGUGGACAUUGUGGCUGAAUCUCCACUAGUGGUCUUGGAGCAUGAUACAAUCUUCAGGAUGGAAGACAGAAGAAGUUGGGAUCUGUGAUGACCAUGGAACCACCAUACCAGUCCUGGACAGUCUACUUCUGGACUUCUUUUGGAGACACAAAUAAAUCUCUACCUUGUUUAAGCCA